rnacentral:lncRNA from 1 species
GAGAAAGAGAAAGAAAAGAGAGAGAGCUAAGAGAGAAAAGAGAGAGGCAGGGAGAGAUAGGGAGAGAGAUAGGAAGAACGAGAGCGAGAGAGACAGCGAGAGAGACAGGGAGAGAGAGAAGCAGGGAGAGGGAUAGGGAGAGAUGUGAGAAAGAGGAGCAAGAGAGACAGGGAGAAAGAGAGAGAGAGAGAGAGAAAGAGACAAAGAGAAAGGAGAGAGAGAAAAAUAAAGGACAGAGAUAAAAGAGAAGGAGAAGGAGACACAGGGAUAGUGAGAGAGAGCAGGACAAGAAGAGAGAGAGAUAUGGAGAGUGAUGGAGUGAGAAAACCAGAGAGAGCGAGAGAGGAGCGAGAGAGGAGCGAGAGAGAGAGAGAGAGAGAGAGAGAGAGAGAGAGAGAGAGAGAGAGAGAGAGAGAGAGGCCAGCCAGAUAGGUCCGGCCAGCCAGAUAGGACCAGUCAGGCAUCUUGAGACGACGUAGCCAGUCUCAAAAUAGUCCGAAUUAAUUGAAGAUAACUCCAGAAAUCUGUGCGGGAGCAGUAUGAUGAUGUGUUGAGCUCUGGCCAGCAGGCCUUCCUAUUGGAGGAGACAAAUCAGAGUCCAGACAUGUUCCAGACGUGUAGGUAGUCUGCCUCCAGCGGGGAAGGCCUCUGUCAGCCUGGACUAUGUGACGGACAAGUUGAAAGAUCUCAGUGGACACAGAGAGCUUAGUGACCUGGCAAGCAGCCUGUUGAGAACGAGCUGAGCUUCAGUCUCAAGCCUGCAGAGGACACUGGGACCUGAGCCCUAGGACCAUGCCUCAGGACUACCUGGUAUGAUGACUCCUUGCUGUCCCCAGUCCACCUGGCCGUGCUGCUGCUCCAGUUUCAACUGUUCUGCCUGCGGCUAUGGAACCCUGACCUGUUCACCGGACGUGCUUGUUGCACCCUCGACAACUACUAUGAUUAUUAUUAUUUGACCAUGCUGGUCAUUUAUGAACAUUUUAACAUCUUGACCAUGUUCUGUUAUAAUAUCCACCCUGCACAGCCAGAAGAGGACUGGCCACCCCUCAUAGCCUGGUUCCUCUCUAGGUUUCUUCCUAGGUUUUUGGCCUUUCUAGGGAGUUUUUCCUAGGGAGUUUUUCCUAGCCACCGUGCUUCUUUCACAUGCAUUGCUUGCUGUUUGGGGUUUUAGGCUGGGUUUCUGUACAGCACUUUGAGAUAUCAGCUGAUGUACGAAGGGCUAUAUAAAUAAAUUUGAUUUGAUUUGAUUUGAUUCAAAAUGUACACUGAAGAUGGAUGUGGAGGACCAAGCUGAUAUGGCUGUGUGAUGCUCAGCGUCAAAGUUUAGCACAAAGAGUAAGACACGUGAAAGUAACAGUAAGCACUGUCUAAAUGUUUUUACAAAUAUUAUUAUUAUUGUUGGGAAGGGCCUGUAAGUAAGCAUUUCACUGUUAGUCUACAGCUGUUUAGGAAGCAUGUGUAAAUUAAAAUGUUAUUUGAAAUGAAGUCUGUUUGGUUUAGAAAGAAAUUCAAAUCAAAUCAAAUGUGUCAUAUACUCUGAAAACCGUGACAUGCUUACUUACAACAAAGAAAAUAGAGUUAGGAAAAUAUUUACUAAAUAAACAAAAGUUUUGAAAAAAGUUACAAUAACAAGGCUAUAUACAGGAAGUACCGGUACAGAGUCAAUGUGCGAGUACAGGUUAGUCGAGGUAAUUUGUACAUGUAGGUAGGGGUAAAGUGACUAUGCAUAGAUGAUAAACAGCGAGCAGCAGCAGUGUAAAAACAAAGGGGGGGUGUCAUUGGCAAAUAGUCCGGGUGGCCAUUUGAUUAAUUGUUCAGCAGUCUUACGGCUUGGGGGUAGAAGCUGUUAAGGAGCCUUUUGGACCUAGACUUGGUGCUCCGGUACUGCUUGCCAUGUGGCAGCAGAGAGAACAGUCUAUGUGUUGCCGCUUUGCUUGUUUGAUGGUUCGUCUGAGGGCAUAGCGGGAUUUCUUAUAAGCAUCCGGAAUAGUGCCCCACUCCUUGAAAGCGGCUGAUCUAGCCUUUAGCUCAGUGUGGAUGUUGACUGGCAGGUUACCAGGAGGAGAGAAUGCCAAGAGUGUGCAAAGCUGUCAUCAAGGCAAAGGGUGGCUACUUUGAAGAGUCUCAAAUAUAAAAUAUAUUUAGAUUUGUUUAACACUUUUUUGCUUACCACAUGAUUCCAUAUGUG